rnacentral:rRNA from 1 species
GCUAUCUACAGGCUUAACACAUGCAAGUCGAGGGGCAUCAGGAAGAAAGCUUGCUUUCUUUGCUGGCGACCGGCGCACGGGUGAGUAACACGUAUCCAACCUGCCCUUUACUCGGGGAUAGCCUUUCGAAAGAAAGAUUAAUACCCGAUAGCAUAAUGAUUCCGCAUGGUUUCAUUAUUAAAGGAUUCCGGUAAAGGAUGGGGAUGCGUUCCAUUAGGUUGUUGGUGAGGUAACGGCUCACCAAGCCUUCGAUGGAUAGGGGUUCUGAGAGGAAGGUCCCCCACAUUGGAACUGAGACACGGUCCAAACUCCUACGGGAGGCAGCAGUGAGGAAUAUUGGUCAAUGGGCGCUAGCCUGAACCAGCCAAGUAGCGUGAAGGAUGAAGGCUCUAUGGGUCGUAAACUUCUUUUAUAUAAGAAUAAAGUGCAGUAUGUAUACUGUUUUGUAUGUAUUAUAUGAAUAAGGAUCGGCUAACUCCGUGCCAGCAGCCGCGGUAAUACGGAGGAUCCGAGCGUUAUCCGGAUUUAUUGGGUUUAAAGGGAGCGUAGGUGGACUGGUAAGUCAGUUGUGAAAGUUUGCGGCUCAACCGUAAAAUUGCAGUUGAUACUGUCAGUCUUGAGUACAGUAGAGGUGGGCGGAAUUCGUGGUGUAGCGGUGAAAUGCUUAGAUAUCACGAAGAACUCCGAUUGCGAAGGCAGCUCACUGGACUGCAACUGACACUGAUGCUCGAAAGUGUGGGUAUCAAACAGGAUUAGAUACCCUGGUAGUCCACACAGUAAACGAUGAAUACUCGCUGUUUGCGAUAUACAGUAAGCGGCCAAGCGAAAGCAUUAAGUAUUCCACCUGGGGAGUACGCCGGCAACGGUGAAACUCAAAGGAAUUGACGGGGGCCCGCACAAGCGGAGGAACAUGUGGUUUAAUUCGAUGAUACGCGAGGAACCUUACCCGGGCUUAAAUUGCAGUGGAAUGAUGUGGAAACAUGUCAGUGAGCAAUCACCGCUGUGAAGGUGCUGCAUGGUUGUCGUCAGCUCGUGCCGUGAGGUGUCGGCUUAAGUGCCAUAACGAGCGCAACCCUUAUCUUCAGUUACUAACAGGUCAUGCUGAGGACUCUGGAGAGACUGCCGUCGUAAGAUGUGAGGAAGGUGGGGAUGACGUCAAAUCAGCACGGCCCUUACGUCCGGGGCUACACACGUGUUACAAUGGGGGGUACAGAAGGCAGCUAGCGGGUGACCGUAUGCUAAUCCCAAAAUCCUCUCUCAGUUCGGAUCGAAGUCUGCAACCCGACUUCGUGAAGCUGGAUUCGCUAGUAAUCGCGCAUCAGCCACGGCGCGGUGAAUACGUUCCCGGGCCUUGUACACACCGCCCGUCAAGCCAUGGGAGCCGGGGGUACCUGAAGUACGUAACCGCAAGGAUCGUCCUAGGGUAAAACUGGUGACUGGGGC